UCUCUUGCUCAAGAGUUGCAGAAGUAGGUUUCUAUACUGAGUACUUCCCCAGUGACUUUCUCGGGCCAUCUUCAUAUCAUUUCCCUGCACUAGGGACCCUGCAUGGCUUUUCUACUGGAGCGUCCUUUUCCUUUUUCACAAGAAAAAUAAGUCCCGAUAUUUCGACUCUGUGAAGAGCCUCAGCCAGAUCACCGAAUAAUGGUUUUGGGGCUAGAUCUGAGCAGAAAUAUCCUGAGAUGCACCUGUGUCAAAGCAUGGUUGAAACAAUGGAUCUGUGUCUUAUGCAAAGUUUAAAAGUGGAAUCGAUGUAUGUCAUGAACUGACACGGAAUGACAGACUGUGCUGAUGUCGAUCUCCUGACCUUGACACUGCACGAUAAUCAUGUCAGACGUAACCACGGGGAGACACUGGGGGACGAGUACGGGGGUCUCUCCAUACUAUCUGUUCAACUUCGUGCUCGCUCAAGUGGAAGCUGGCUGCUCAUUUUCAAGGACUAAUCCAGUGACUCACCAGGGGGGGACGAACGAAAAGAAUGGCACCCGUGUGUAUAAACACAGCUGUACAGCUCUGUCUGCACUGGAACACAAGGAAUAGGAGUCCUCCAGGAGAACAUAAAAGACAAGGGGGAUAUUCAACUACUCACAGGUCAUUUUCAUGGGAUUCUUGAAACACAACGUGAAGGGAACGGUGUUGACCUCCAACAUUGUAAAAGAAAAGCCUUUCGGGGAUGAUGAAGUUAACAGACUGCCUUCGACGUCAAAGGCCACCUUUGGUGGUACUGCGGUAAUGGGGAGAUUCUCACGACAAAAAUAAACUGCCAACGGGAAAUGGUAUUUAGAAUCGUUUGAUUCAGGUAAAAUUGGAAGAGUAUCCCAUCAAGUUUAUUUUUCCUACCACCUCUCUUGCAGCUGGCUGUGGCCAAAUGACUACAUGUUAUCUGGAGGGAGGCUGGUGACAUCACAUGUGCUAAGCUUGGCCGAUGUGCCUACAAGGGAUGGAAUGUCCUUUCCCCUUUCCCGUGCACUGUCCCUUCAGAGUGGAAUGAGACAAGUUGGGAUAAACUGAAGAAGGGUUCAUCUUAAACCAUGACAUGAUGGAGUAAGCCUGGGUCCCUAAUGAUGAGGGAGCAAAAGGCAGGCUGAGGGCAAAGCAAUCUAGCAUCCCCUACUCACUCUCCCCCCAACUCCCAUGGGAUAUGUGUGACAUUCCUCAGUCACUCCUGGCUGCCCAAGAACAAAGGAAGCAGGCAAGAAAACAAAUGGCUGAAUGACAGAAAUGACAGCCAUGCAGGACACGAGUCUCUGUCAGUUUAUGAAUGUCUUAGUAAAUUACAAGAUAAAGGCAAUCUUGUCAAUAGCCUAACCUCCAGAAACCCAAAGAGUCAGUUUCCUGGAGCCCCAACAUCACCCUCCCCUCCAUAGUCAUGUGGGAACAAAGACAUGGAGGAAAUGGCAGGUAAAAUUAAAUUUCUUCAUAAUCUGCAGCCCACUGAUAAAUACUUGAGGCAAAUACAAAGUAUAACAUUUCUCCAGGAACCCCCUACCAUCCUAAUGUUAAUAACUAGAGGGGAAACAACCUUAGCUUGACAACAGCCAGGCCUCCAUUAUCUUAUGAGUCAUCUUUAGCAUAUCAAAGUCUUUUUGGAAAACUCCCUUCUUUUACCUCCCCAACUCCACAAUAUAUAAUCAGUCUCUCCUCACAACCCCAGUGCAGCUCUUUCUGCCCAUGGGUCCUGUCCCUGUGCUUUAAUAAAACCACCUU